rnacentral:rRNA from 1 species
CCUACGGGAGGCAGCAGUGGGGGAUAUUGCACAAUGGGGGAAACCCUGAUGCAGCGACGCCGCGUGGGUGAAGACGCGCCUCGGCGCGUAAAGCUCUGUCAGCAGGGAAGAAAAUGACGGUACCUGAAGAAGAAGCCACGGCUCACUACGUGCCAGCAGCCGCGGUAAUACGGGGGGGGCCAGAGUUAUCCGGAUGUACUGGGCGUAAAGGGGGCGCAGGCGGCAUUGCAAGCCAGGAGUGAAAGCCCGGGGCCCAACCCCGGGACUGCUCUUGGAACUGGGUGGCUAGAGUGCAGGAGGGGCAGGCGGAAUUCCGGGUGUAGCGGUGAAAUGCGUAGAUAUCAGGAGGAACACCGGUGGCGAAGGCGGCCUGCUGGACUGGAACUGACGUUGAGGCCCGAAAGCGUGGGUAGCAAACAGGAUUAGAUACCCGGGUAGUC